rnacentral:rRNA from 1 species
CUACGGGUCGCACCAGUGAGGAAUAUUGCAUAAUGGGGGGAACCCUGAUGCAGCAACGCCGCGUGGAGGAUGACGCAUUUCGGUGUGUAAACUCCUUUUAUAUGUCAAGAAAAUGACGGUAGCAUAUGAAUAAGCACCGGCUAACUCCGUGCCAGCAGCCGCGGUAAUACGGAGGGUGCAAGCGUUACUCGGAAUCACUGGGCGUAAAGGACGCGUAGGCGGGUUGGAAAGUCAGGUGUGAAAUCCUACAGCUUAACUGUAGAACUGCACUUGAAACUUCUAAUCUAGAGUAUGGGAGGGGGAGAUGGAAUUAGUGGUGUAGGGGUAAAAUCCAUAGAUAUCACUAGGAAUACCUAAAGCGAAGGCGAUCUCCUGGAACAUUACUGACGCUAAGGCGUGAAAGCGUGGGGAGCAAACAGGAUUAGAUACCCCCGUAGUC